GAUGAACGCUGGCGGCGUGCCUAAUACAUGCAAGUCGAGCGAACGGACGAGAAGCUUGCUUCUCUGAUGUUAGCGGCGGACGGGUGAGUAACACGUGGAUAACCUACCUAUAAGACUGGGAUAACUUCGGGAAACCGUAGCUAAUACCGGAUAAUAUUUUGAACCGCAUGGUUCAAAAGUGAAAGACGGUCUUGCUGUCACUUAUAGAUGGAUCCGCGCUGCAUUAGCUAGUUGGUAAGGUAACGGCUUACCAAGGCAACGAUGCAUAGCCGACCUGAGAGAGUGAUCGGCCACACUGGAACUGAGACACGGUCCAGACUCCUACGGGAGGCAGCAGUAGGGAAUCGUCCGCAAUGGGCGAAAGCCUGACGGAGCGACGCCGCGUGAGUGAUGAAGGUCUUCGGAUCGUAAAACUCUGUUAUUAGGGAAGAACAUAUGUGUAAGUAACUGUGCACAUCUUGACGGUACCGAAUCAGAAAGCCACGGCUAACUACGUG
rnacentral:rRNA from 1 species